CAAAUACUCCUUCCAUCCCAAAAUAAGUGACUCAAAAAUGAUCAACUUUGUACUAAAGUUAGUACAAAGUUGAUCAUUUUUGAGUCACUUAUUUUGGAAUGGAGGGAGUAUAUU
rnacentral:pre_miRNA from 1 species